GUAUGUGAGGGCAGUCUGUCACAUCUGUCACUCCAUUGAUCUCUAGAUUGAUUCAGCUGAUCUGGCUGGCUAGGCUGGUGUCCCCUUUCACUCUCUGCUCAUGUGUAUUCCCGGUGAAGUUGUAUGUUGGGCCAAAGAGGACAACGUCCCCCGGUAGAGAAGAAUCAAUCUUUGGUCAAGGGUGUAUUAGUAACUGCACUUCUGUUAGAACCUCCAUACAAACUUUUACUGUCCAUUUGUAGGAGAAUGCAGUCAAGCUUCCUUAAAAGGCCAAAAAAAACAAAACAAAACAACAAUAAACAAACAAAAACAGAAAAACAUACAUAUUU
rnacentral:snRNA from 1 species